rnacentral:tRNA from 1 species
GGGGCCGUAGCUCAGUUGGUAGAGCGUCUCGUUCGCAAUGAGAAGGUCAGGGGUUCGAUUCCCCUCGGCUCCA